CUUUUUUUGUCUCCUUGAGCUCCUAGGAGAAGAAAUUCCUCACAGAGUAAGCAAGCCAAGACAGUUUCAUUUGAGACUGGACUACUGUACCAGCUUAUCAAGUUAUUCAACAUUGAAGCAGAUUUAUCAAUUGCAAGGUAUCAAUUAGCCACCUACCUUUUGGGAUCUCUGCUACCACUACCACUUAUUGCUUGGUGAGACCAGACAAGAUAAUUCCAGGCUCAGGAUACACAGCUGGCAAGAAAGUCAAGCCUGAAACAGCAGGCAGUUCAUCCCUGCAUGUAAAUCAAGGCCUACAAGCCACUAGGACAGUUUCUGUGCAGUACCAGCCUGGACCAGGUAAGCUGUACUGCUCACAGGACUGCUUUCUUUGUGUAUACCCCUCUAGGCAACAUCUGAGCUAAAAAGCCCCAAGAAGGUGUGAGCUGACUCCAUACAGCGGCUCCUUCCCCUACCCCCAUAACUUUCUAGAUGCUUUCCAGCAUAGCAGCUUCUUGAGUGUUUAUAAACACGUGUGGUGCCAAACGCAGUCAGCUAUGCAUUCGUGCAAUACUAUCCCCAUAAAGCCUGGGUGGCACCUCAAGUUCUGGGGGAGCCCCCAUACCCAUCAUGGGAGGUACCAAAGUGGCCCAGCCACACAACAGCAGGAGGCACUCACAGUGGUGUCCCCACAACACAUCUUCAGAGCAGACAUCAGGAUUUAUCCAAACUCAAGACACCCCAGCCUCACAGGGCCAUACCUUUGGGGCAUCACUGUGACCUGGACACCCUGCAGCACCGAGCUCUCCCUCCCAACACGCAGCUGCUGGCGAGCCACAUCCCCUUCUCCUCACCCCGCAAGAGCCCCGACGAGGCAGCGGCGGCCCCGGGGCUGUCCCCAACAGGGAGGGCCGCUGCGGCCGGGCAGGUGCGGCGGGA